rnacentral:rRNA from 1 species
UGGGGGAUAUUGCACAAUGGGCGAAAGCCUGAUGCAGCGACGCCGCGUGGGGGAUGAAGGCCUUCGGGUUGUAAACUUCUUUUGCUCUGAACAAGGCGCACCAUGGGGUGUGUUGAGUGUAGGGGUUGAUUAGCGCCGGCUAACUACGUGCCAGCAGCCGCGGUAAUACGUAGGGCGCGAGCGUGGUCCGGAAUUAUUGGGCGUAAAGGGCUUGUAGGUGGCUGGUUGCGUCUGUCGUGAAAGCUCAUGGCUUAACUGUGGGUUUGCGGUGGGUACGGGCUGGCUUGAGUGCAGUAGGGGAGGCUGGAAUUCCUGGUGUAGCGGUGGAAUGCGCAGAUAUCAGGAGGAAUACCGGUGGCGAAGGCGGGUCUCUGGGCUGUUACUGACACUGAGGAGCGAAAGCAUGGGGAGCGAACAGG